AUUGAACGCUGGCGGCAGGCCUAACACAUGCAAGUCGGACGAGUGGCGGACGGGUGAGUAAUAUCUGGGAAACUGCCGGAUGAAGGGGGAUAACUACUGGAAACAGUAGCUAAUACCGCAUACCAUCGGAUGUGCCCAGAUGGGAUUAGCUAGUAGGUGGGGUAAAGGCUCACCUAGGCGACGAUCCCUAGCUGGUCUGAGAGGAUGACCAGCCACACUGGAACUGAGACACGGUCCAGACUCCUACGGGAGGCAGCAGGGGGGAAUAUUGCACAAUGGGCGAAAGCCUGAUGCAGCAAUGCCGCGUGUAUGAAGAAGGCCUUCGGGUUGUAAAGUACUUUCAGCGGUGAGGCGUUACCCGAAGAAGAAGCACCGGCUAACUCCGUGCCAGCCGCCGCGGUAAUAC
rnacentral:rRNA from 1 species